rnacentral:lncRNA from 1 species
UUUGUUACGUUUUUGUUUUCUUAAAGGGCCCCUGAAACAGUUCGGACAAAUUCUGUAGAUACGUAGGGUACAGCUACAGUAAAACAUUCGCGUCACAAUUU